rnacentral:rRNA from 1 species
UACGGGGGGGGCAAGCGUUGUUCGGAAUUACUGGGCGUAAAGGGCUCGUAGGCGGCCAACUAAGUCCGACGUGAAAUCCCCAGGCUUAACCUGGGAACUGCGUCGGAUACUGGAUGGCUUGAGUGCGGGAGAGGGAUGUGGAAUUCCAGGUGUAGCGGUGAAAUGCGUAGAUAUCUGGAGGAACACCGGUGGCGAAGGCGGCAUCCUGGACCGACACUGACGCUGAUGCGCGAAAGCCAGGGGAGCAAACGGG